CCUAUCAGGUUGUUGGAGAGGUAACGGCUCACCAAGGCAUCGACGGGUAGCUGGACUGAGAGGAUGAUCAGCCACACUGGGACUGAGACACGGCCCAGACUCCUACGGGAGGCAGCAGUGGCGAAUCUUGCACAAUGGGCGAAAGCCUGAUGCAGCAACGCCGCGUGCGGGAAGAAGGCCCUAGGGUUGUAAACCGCUUUCAGUAGGGAAGAAAAUGACGGUACCUACAGAAGAAGGUGCGGCCAACUACGUGCCAGCAGCCGCGGUGACACGUAGGCACCAAGCGUUAUCCGGAUUUAUUGGGCGUAAAGAGCUCGUAGGCGGUUCAGUAAGUCGGGUGUGAAAACUCUGGGCUCAACCCAGAGACGCCACCCGAUACUGCUGUGACUUGAGUACGGUAGGGGAGCGGGGAAUUCCUGGUGUAGCGGUGAAAUGCGCAGAUAUCAGGAAGAACACCAGUGGCGAAGGCGCCGCUCUGGGCCGAAACUGACGCUGAGGAGCGAAAGCGUGGGUAGCAAACAGGAUUAGAUACCCUGGUAGUCCACGCCGUAAACGUUGGGCACUAGGUGUGGGUCUCAACCAACGAGAUCCGCGCCGUCGCUAACGCAUUAAGUGCCCCGCCUGGGGAGUACGGA
rnacentral:rRNA from 1 species